AGUUGGAGAAACGGGAGAUGCUCUCGACCUGGUUGUUGAACCAAUAGAUGAACCGGCAUGACCCCCGGAUCCUGUUGAGCAGCAGCGUGAGGGGCAGAGGGAGCUGGAGCGGGAAUAUAUGCGGGAACCGAGUCAUGAGACGAUACCUGAUUACGCGUUUAAGCACACACCAAUUAACCUAAUGUGCCAACAAUACCACAAUCGAAUGGUAUGUCAUUGUAGCAUUUUAGGAUCGAAUCCACAGAGAACUAGAGACUUAUAACACCAAGAAUACACAAACCUUCCUAAUCUAAGCAAACAAGAAGAUAGAUGAUUUGUAACAAACUAAUAUCCUAGAAAUAUAAACAAGUGAAUCCAUGGGCUAAGGGAAUUGACUUCAAGUAACUAAGAUCCAAUCUAGGUGACAAGCUUUCAAUCAAAGUAAUCUCUUAAGUCUAAACACAAUUUUAGACAAGUCCUAUGUCUAGGUAAAUGUCCAUUUGCUUAGAAAUCAUUAAACAUCAAAUGUCUUUGGCUUAAUUCAAUCAAGCAAUCUUUAAGUUCAAGUUUAAUAACUAUCUAGCAAUUUUAACAUCAAGUGUCCUUGGCUAAUCUCACUAGAGCUUAGUUGAGUUGAUUCAAACACUUCAUCUAAUCAUGUCUGAUGAGAAGUGUUUAGAAAUCAGGUUUAGAGUGAUCAAGACUAAACAAGCAUUAAAAAUACUCAACAAGCAAGUUCAUACAAGGAUCUAAUACAAUAACACCAUAGAUCUUCACUAAGUUACUCUAAUCUCCCUAACCCAUGAAUUCUUAAGGAAACUACUCACUAAUCUCCAUGAAAACACUUAAUCUCAUAAUAGAUUGAAGCAUAUUCAAGUAGAUAAAACAGAGAAUAAAGAUAAACAAGGAUUAAACAAGCAAAUUCAAGAGAAUAAGAAGAAAAGAAACUAAAGAUUCAAGCUUUCUCUCUCAAGAGUUCUUGUGUUCUUCAUAAAAAAGUAGAUAGAUCCCCCAUUAUUGUCUGAAAAGUAGUUAUAUAUUACUAAAACUCGAGCUGGGGUUGACCCAUAAAAACAGAUAUUUUUCUCCGUAGUGACCAUAAAAGGUCGCUACAAGAGGUCACUACGCCUGUAGCGACCUUAAAUGCCCGCUACGGGUGGCCGCUAGGACACUUAGACGAUUUUUUCGCAUUCUUGAACUCAUAGCGACCUCAUUAUGCCGCUACGGAAGACCGCUACAGAAAGCGCUUCAACUAUAGCGGUCUCUCUAACCCGCUACACACUCCCGCUACGGUACUUAGGCGCCUCAGCUCUAUCUUCUGUAGCGACCAUCUUUUGCCGCUACGCCUGGCCGCUAGGAAUGUCAUAUUGAUAUGUGUGUAGUAUUUUGAUCAUAAAUCCCUCAAUACAGCUCUAAACGACUUGAAACCACCUCCAUUGUAAAGCUAACUCAAUUUCCAGUGUCUCCACAAAUUUUGAGCUUCAGAAGAGAUCUUUAAGGCCUUCAUCCGUGUUCAUCUUUCACUCUUUGGACUCAAAAUCCCUCCAAUGGUCUUCUAACUCAUCCAUGGUGCUCUCCAACACCUGAUAUGUACAAAUGCAAUGAUAUGCAACCUAAAUGUGCCUAAAUGAUACUCUAAAUGACCAAACCAUGCAAGAAUAAGAAGUUAAAAACAUGUAAAUUCACAAGAUAUCAAUACCGAUGCACGGGAACCGCUCACCGAACUACGUCGAAGACGGGCUGCGGGGCGGGCUUCAUCCUCGGCC
rnacentral:lncRNA from 1 species